GAUGAACGCUAGCGACAGGCUUAACACAUGCAAGUCGAGGGGCAGCAUAAAAGUAGCAAUACUUUGGUGGCGACCGGCGCACGGGUGAGUAACGCGUAUGCAACCUACCUAUCAGAGGGGGAUAACCCGGCGAAAGUCGGACUAAUACCGCAUAAAACAGGGGCACCGCAUGGUGAUAUUUGUUAAAGAGAUUCGCUGAUAGAUGGGCAUGCGUUCCAUUAGGUAGUUGGUGAGGUAACGGCUCACCAAGCCGACGAUGGAUAGGGGAACUGAGAGGUUGGUCCCCCACACUGGUACUGAGACACGGACCAGACUCCUACGGGAGGCAGCAGUGAGGAAUAUUGGUCAAUGGGCGGGAGCCUGACCCAGCCAUGCCGCGUGAAGGAAGACGGUCCUAUGGAUUGUAAACUUCUUUUAUCAUAGAGUAACCGCAGGGACGUGUCCCUGCCUGCAAGUAUAUGAUGAAUAAGCAUCGGCUAACUCCGUGCC
rnacentral:rRNA from 1 species